CACACUCACAAAAAUAUACAAAUGAAUGAAAAUGGUUAUGACCCACCCAUGACUGCAGUGGGUUCACUGUCAUCUGAUGUGAUCUAUACCACCUGUUCCUAUGUGACUGAGAGGACCACUGGCCAUCCAUAGCCUGGGAGGUUACAUCAUCACUUUGCACCUCACACUCUAGAACCAGAUAAGGAAGAACAGUGUCACAUGAGGGAAAACUUCCUAGCAGUUGGAGAUGCCCAACAAUGAGUGAUCACAUUGUUUUAAAAGUGAGACUCCCAUUGCUGAUCACCCUGGAGAUUUCUGCAUGGGGGCACCCUGAACUUGAAAAUCUCUGAAGUGCCUCGCAAGAUUCAGGGCACUAAGGUCCAAAGGAGUGAAGAUUGGCAAACUGAUAAUAACUCCCCAAAUCUAUUACACUGACAUGUAUCAUCAAAUUAAUAAAUUCCAUAAA
ensembl:lncRNA novel transcript